GUGUUACUUCGGUAGCACAUGUAAUAAAAUUGGCACAAUACAGAGAAGAUUAGCAUGGCCCCGCAAGGAUGACAUGCACAAUCGUGGAGUGUUCCUAAAAAAA